rnacentral:rRNA from 1 species
UACGUGGGGAGCAAGCGUUGUCCGGAAUCAUUGGGCGUAAAGAGCGCGUAGGCGGUCCGGUAAGUCGGUUGUGAAAACUGGGGGCUCAAUCCUCAGACGCCGACCGAUACUGUCGGGCUAGAGUCCGGAAGAGGCGAGUGGAAUUCCUGGUGUAGCGGUGAAAUGCGCAGAUAUCAGGAGGAACACCAAUGGCGAAGGCAGCUCGCUGGGACGGUACUGACGCUGAGGCGCGAAAGCGUGGGGAGCAAACAGG